GGGACCACUCACUGCCGAAGAACGAAUGAGAAGAAGGAACAACCACUUAUGCAUGUAUUGUGCAAACCCAAGUCACAUGGUCACAGUCUGUCCCAUUCUACUUAAAAACAAAAAGAUGGGACCUUAGACGUCUGCCAAUCAAUGCCAUAGUGGAUUCUGGAGCUUUUGGCAAUUUCAUUGACAACACCACUGUACAAAUUAAUAAAAUACCCACUGUUGAAAAAAAACAA